ensembl:lncRNA
ACAGAGAGAAAGACGGAGAGAGAUAGAGACAGAGCGAGACACGGAUGUAGAGAGACCGAGAGAGACAGAGAGAAAGACGGAGAGAGAUAGAGACAGAGCGAGACACGGAUGUAGAGAGACAGAGAGAAAGACGGAGAGAGAUAGAGACAGAGCGAGACACGGAUAGACAGAGACAGAGCGAGACACUGAUGUAGAGAGACAGAGAGAAAGACGGAGAGAGAUAGAGACAGAGCGAGACACGGAUGUAGAGAGACCGAGAGA